CCUACGGGAGGCAGCAGUGAGGAAUAUUGGUCAAUGGGCGCGAGCCUGAACCAGCCAAGUAGCGUGAAGGAUGACUGCCCUACGGGUUGUAAACUUCUUUUAUGAAGGAAUAAAGUUAUGCACGUGUGCCUGUUUGUAUGUACUUUAUGAAUAAGGACCGGCUAAUUCCGUGCCAGCAGCCGCGGUAAUACGGAGGGUCCGAGCGUUAUCCGGAUUUAUUGGGUUUAAAGGGAGCGUAGAUGGGUCGUUAAGUGAGUUGUGAAAUUUUGCGGCUCAACCGUAAAAUUGCAGUUGAUACUGGCAGUCUUGAGUGCAGGUGAGGUAGGCGGAAUUCGUGGUGUAGCGGUGAAAUGCUUAGAUAUCACGAAGAACUCCGAUUGCGAAGGCAGCUUGCUACACUGUCACUGACGUUGAUGCUCGAAAGUGUGGGUAUCAAACAGGAUUAGAUACCCUUGUAGUC
rnacentral:rRNA from 1 species